UUUAAAAUUAACUUUCAAUACUCCACCAAUGUGCGUGUUACUAAGGAUGAUUCUGGAAUAUCCAUAUAUAGUUUUGAGUUUACUCAGUUCAUAGAGAUAACCUCAAGACAAGUCGAUGAGAAUUAUUUAAUUAGUAAACUCACUGCAUUAUAUGCUGUUUUUAAUAUAAAUAUCACAAUAUUCUUUAAAAUAUCAUCCUAUUUUUU
rnacentral:lncRNA from 1 species